rnacentral:rRNA from 1 species
AAAUGAAUAGACGGGGGCCCGCACAAGCGGAGGAACAUGUGGUUUAAUUCGAUGAUACGCGAGGAACCUUACCUGGAUUUAAAUGGGGAGUGACAGGCUUAGAGAUAGGUUUUUCUUCGGACACUCUUCAAGGUGCUGCAUGGUUGUCGUCAGCUCGUGCCGUGAGGUGUCGGGUUAAGUCCCAUAACGAGCGCAACCCACGUUGUUAGUUACCAGCAUGUCAAGAUGGGGACUCUAACAAGACUGCCGGUGUAAACCGCGAGGAAGGUGUGGAUGACGUCAAAUCAGCACGGCCCUUACAUCCAGGGCUACACACGUGUUACAAUGGCCGGUACAGAGGGUCGCUACUUCGCGAGAAGAUGCCAAUCCUACAAAACCGGUCUCAGUUCGGAUUGGAGUCUGCAACCCGACUCCAUGAAGCUGGAUUCGCUAGUAAUCGCGCAUCAGCCAUGGCGCGGUGAAUACGUUCCCGGGCCUUGCACACACCGCCCGU